GAUGAACGCUGGCGGUGUGCCUAAUACAUGCAAGUCGAGCGAACAGACGAGGAGCUUACUCCUCUGACGUUAGCGGCGGACGGGUGAGUAACACGUGGAUAACCUACCUAUAAGACUGGGAUAACUUCGGGAAACCGGAGCUAAUACCGGAUAACAUGUUGAACCGCAUGGUUCAACAGCGAAAGACGGUCUUGCUGUCACUUAUAGAUGGAUCCGCGUCGCAUUAGCUAGUUGGUAAGGUAACGGCUUACCAAGGCAACGAUGCGUAGCCGACCUGAGAGGGUGAUCGGCCACACUGGAACUGAGACACGGUCCAGACUCCUACGGGAGGCAGCAGUAGGGAAUCUUCCGCAAUGGGCGAAAGCCUGACGGAGCAACGCCGCGUGAGUGAAGAAGGUCUUCGGAUCGUAAAACUCUGUUAUUAGGGAAGAACAAAUGUGUAAGUAACUAUGCACGUCUUGACGGUACCUAAUCAGAAAGCCACGGCUAACUACGUG
rnacentral:rRNA from 1 species